rnacentral:rRNA from 1 species
UAAGGAAUAUUGGUCAAUGGACGCAAGUCUGAACCAGCCAUGCCGCGUGGAGGAUGAAGGUCCUCUGGAUUGUAAACUUCUUUUAUUUGGGAAGAAACCCACGAUUUCUAUUGUGGUUGACGGUACCAGAUGAAUAAGCACCGGCUAACUCCGUGCCAGCAGCCGCGGUAAUACGGAGGGUGCAAGCGUUAUCCGGAUUCACUGGGUUUAAAGGGUGCGUAGGUGGAUCGGUAAGUCCGUGGUGAAAUCCCUGAGCUUAACUCAGGAACUGCCGUGGAUACUAUCGAUCUUGAAUGCCGUGGAGGUAAGCGGAAUAUGUCAUGUAGCGGUGAAAUGCUUAGAUAUGACAUAGAACACCAAUAGCGAAGGCAGCUUGCUACACGGUAAUUGACACUCAGGCACGAAAGCGUGGGGAGCAAACAG